rnacentral:rRNA from 1 species
AUUGAACGCUGGCGGCAUGCCUUACACAUGCAAGUCGAACGGUAACAGGUUAAGCUGACGAGUGGCGAACGGGUGAGUAAUGUAUCGGAACGUGCCCAGCCGUGGGGGAUAACUACUCGAAAGAGUGGUUAAUACCGCAUACGACCUGAGGGUGAAAGCGGGGGACCGUAAGGCCUCGCGCGAUUGGAGCGGCCGAUAUCAGAUUAGCUAGUUGGUGGGGUAAAAGCCCACCAAGGCGACGAUCUGUAGCUGGUCUGAGAGGACGACCAGCCACACAGGUACUGAGACACAGCCCAGACUCCUACAGGAGGCAGCAGUGGUGAAUUUUGGACAAUGGGCGCAAGCCUGAUUCAGCAAUGCCGCGUGCAGGAAGAAGGCCUUCGGGUUGUAAACUGCUUUUGUACUGAACGAAACGGUCUGGGUUAAUACCCUGGGCUAAUGACGGUACCGUAAGAAUAAGCACCGGCUAACUACGUGCCAGCCGCCGCCGUAAAAC